AGGGCUGUGGUCUCAGGGGGGCUUCCUGUCCCCGGCUCUCACGUCGGGUCCUGGGUCCUGUCUCCGCUCCCCUACCACAGCCUCUGUCAGGGGUGUGUGUGGGCCCUGGGGGCUUUUCCUCCGAUGUGAAUCUCCCCACCCUGCCCCCACCCCAGCCCCAAGCCUGCUGCAGGCUCCCAUACGGACUCCACACUGCAGCCCCCAGAGAGAGCCCCCGAAGCCCCAAAGCCCACACCUCAGCAGUCACAGGCCUCCUCUCUGUCUGGACUCUGUUGACUUUUCCUGGCUCUGAAGUCCACGUUCCAGCGGUGGGGCGGCAGGGCGUGGGGGGGUGGGGGCGCUGGCAGGUCAGGACCCAGCAGCCUGUGUCGCCUGCCCUGGAGGGAGCCUCUGGCAUCUCCCAAGGGUGCUGGAAACCAGGAGCCAGCUGUGGUGGGAGAAAGGAGGAUCCGAGCCAUUUGGCACCUGCUGGGAGCACAGGGCCAGCAUUCCUGAGCGCCCCACCCUUCCUCCCUCCCUCCUGCCCCAUCAUGUCACAUAGGUGUUGUCUAGGGGGUCAUGGUAGGAAGUCCCGGUCAUUCUUCUAUCACUGUCAGGCCCAUGCUCCCCUUCUCAGGACAGACUCAGGUCAGCUUUGUCGCCAGGACACCGCUCUUUCUAAGAGUAAAGGGUCAAGUUGCUCUCUCACUACCUGUGGUCCUGGCCCGCGCGCUGUGGGUGCCGAUGGCCGGGCCCUGGCCUGCCAGGAGCUCUUGCCUUCACCCUGGAGGCCCCGUGGCGUCCAGGCCCCCAGACCAGCCUCAAGUCUGGGUCUCGGGCACUGGGGCCCCUCCCUGGGUCCCCUCCCCGUGUGUCAGCUGCUCCCUGCACUUACCACGUCUGAUGUCCCCUGGAACCCACACCUGCGUUGAACCCUGCCUGUCGAGGGCCCUGUGUGGCUCCAGUGCCCUCAAGGCUGUCCCCACUAAGCGAGCCCAUGUGCACAUGGGCAGUCAGAGGGCAGAGAGGGAGAGAAGCUGGCCCCGGGGCCCCGUGUGGGGCGAGGGCAGUGAGGGGCUGGGACGGAUGGCUGCAGGCCCCAGCGGGGUGCCACCAGUCUGAGCCCUGAUACGCUGCCCUCGCCGGUGUCUGUGGGAUGCAACCCCCACCGAGGUCAUUCGGAGCCACCCACACGCUGCCCCUGCUUGUGGAGCAGAGACGGCGGGCAGUAGCUCACCUGUGUGUCCCUUUCCACCCCGUGGCUGCUAAAGACGUCCCCUCUCCUGCACGAAGAGAGACACAAAAUGUGAGCAGGAGAGGGGUAGAGAGAGAGGGAGACACAGAAUCCGAAGCUGCUCUGUGCUCCGAGCUGUCAGCACAGAGCACCACAUGGGGCUCAAACCCACGAACCAUGAGAUCAUGACCUGAGCUGAAGUCGGAUGCUUAACCGACUGAGCCGCCCAGGUGCCCCAUUUACUUUCAUUUAUUUAAUUUAAAGGGUAUAUAAUUUAAUUUUUAAUCAGGUAAAAUUUGCAUAACACAAAAGUUUCCCAUUUUACCCGUCAAAAGUGCACAAUUUACGUGGCUUUUCAUAUUUCUCGGUCUGUGCGGCUCUCACAACCACAUGGCCCUGAGUGUUUUCCCCGUGGCAAAGGAAACCAGGUACCCAUGAUGCAGUGCCCACAUCUGCUGAACCUUACUUCCUAGAAGGGCGUCUCCGCCUUCUGUGUGGUUGGAUUUCCCUUCUGUCAUGCAUUCCGUGUAGGCCUGUAAGCCUACAGGCCGUGGCCUUCUCGUUGGCCUUAUCUCACUGAGCUCAUGCUUUCAGUGCUCACCCACGUGGCCACACAAAUCAGAACUGCCUUCCUUCUGAUAGGUGACAGGUAUUAUAUGGUAAGGGUACCAUGUAUUUGCUUCUUCAGUCAUCAAUUUACAGACAUUUUUGGUUCUUAAGAAUAAUGCUGUUGGAAACACUUGUGUGCAAGUUUUGUGUGAACACGUUUUUCUGCCCUUCAGUGCAUUCCCAGGCGUGGAAGGACUGAGUCAUGUCAGAACUUUCUGAGGAGCUGCCAGACUGUUUCCACAGAAUGUAUGACAGCUUCUACUUCUCCUAUCCUCACCAACACGUGGGGGUACCGUACACAAGUUAGAGCCGCUCCAUUGACUGUCAGUGCUGUGUCCUUGUGGUCUGGCGCGUGUCCUUGGGUCUGCUAACAAAUUCCUUGUUUUUGUUCGAGAAAAUACAUUUCACCUUCACUUUCGAGGAAUAAUUUCACUAUAUGUGGAAUACUCCAGCCCUGACUAGUGCAUAGAUCGACUAAUCCUACACCAACGGAAAAGCCACAUGGUGAGUAGAGUUUCUGAGGUGUUUCCAGGUAGGAAGGCUGCUAUGGCCCACAGGACAACGUCUGAGGAGUGGCCGUGUUAAGGGAGCAGUUUACUGCACAGCACAGCGUGGGGCCACACUUAAGCCCCCCACUGGGGCUGGGGCAGGAGCGGCUGGGAGACCCUUCAAGCCUCAGACAGGACCGACAUGGGCCUGAGAAAGACCCUGGGGACAAGCAUGGGAACAAUCUGGGCACCAGAGCAACUCCCAGGCCCCGCUCUCAUCCCUGCCCUCACACCUGCAGCUCCCAGCCCUGUGUGCCCAGACUGCGGGCCAGGGGACGGCACUUGUGGGCGUGGGGAGUCUGGCAGCAGCAGCGAGCAGGCUGCACGUAGCGCGGAAAGGGCUCAGGUGGUGUUUGUGGACACAGUGGCUCCGGCCGGAGCUGAGAGACACGAGGGUCCGCACGGGAACUGAUCCAACUGUGAAGGGCUGAAGGAGCUUCAGCCUCCCUCUUGACGGGAUCUGGACCCAAUGUGAAGAAGGACCCACAGGAGCCAUGACCCACGGGCAUCGAGCAGUCACUUGGAGAGGGAAUAGCUGGGCUUCCUCACAUUUCCAUCCACAAGGAGAACACAGGCGUGUUUCACCUACAUUUUCUCAGCGUGUGGAAGAGGUCUUGGACUGCUAAGAUCUGAGGUGUUUCCCAUUUUGUUUGGGCCUUGACAUGAAGCUGGCUCCUACAUUCUCUCCUCUGUGCUCCAGAUGAGCUGAUGUAAUUGAACCUGUGGAAGCAUUUUAAUCCUGCGUACCGUGUGGCCUUAGCAUGAGGCUGCUCUACCCCCUGAGUUCCCAGAGCCGCCAGCUGGAAGCUCGCUCUGGUUCCUGGGUGGAGGUGAAGAUCUCAGACUGCCACUGGGCACAGGGCGGGCUCCCGGAGCCCCAGCUUCCCCAAGCACCAAUGAGUGGGAAGGAGAAAAUUAGUGAAAUCUCGCAGAGAGUCUGUUUUUGCCGAUUCUGCUGGUACGCCUCCUCCCAUGUUCACCUACAUUUUGGAUAAUUAGCCUGUAGGUAGAGACACUUAGCUGUAUGCUUAACCAAAGUUAAAAUUUUAAACGUAAAUAAGGUACAUUUUAUGUUAUAUACACUUUACCACAAUA